GACGUAGGGCGCGAGCGUUGUCCGGAUUUAUUGGGCGUAAAGAGCGUGUAGGCGGCUUUACAGGUCCGUUGUGAAAACUCGAGGCUCAACCUCGAGACGCCGGUGGAAACCGUAAGGCUAGAGUCCGGAAGAGGAAAGUGGAAUUCCUGGUGUAGCGGUGAAAUGCGCAGAUAUCAGGAAGAACACCAAUGGCGAAAGCAGCUUUCUGGGACGGUACUGACGCUGAGACGCGAAAGCGUGGGGAGCGAACAGG
rnacentral:rRNA from 1 species